rnacentral:rRNA from 1 species
UUGGAGGGCAAGUCUGGUGCCAGCAGCCGCGGUAAUUCCAGCUCCAAUAGCGUAUAUUAAAGUUGCUGCAGUUAAAAAGCUCGUAGUUGAAUUUCGGGACCAUCAUGUCGGUCGUGCCUCGGUACGUACUGGUAUUGUUGGUUUCUCCCUUCUGACGAACCAUGAUGUCAUUUAUUUGGUGUUGUGGGGAAUCAGGACUGUUACUUUGAAAAAAUUAGAGUGUUUAAAGCAGGCUAACGCCUGAAUACAUUAGCAUGGAAUAAUGAAAUAGGACGUUCGAUCCUAUUUUGUUGGUUUCUAGGAUUGACGUAAUGAUUAAUAGGGAUAGUUGGGGACAUUAGUAUUCAAUUGUCAGAGGUGAAAUUCUUGGAUUUAUUGAAGACUAACUACUGCGAAAGCAUUUGCCAAGGAUGUUUUCAUUAAUCAAGAACGAAAGUUAGGGGAUCGAAGACGAUCAGAUACCGUCGUAGUCUUAACCAUAAACUAUGCCGACUAGGGAUCGGAUGAUGUUAAUUUUUUAAUGACUCAUUCGGCGCCUUACGGGAAAC